AGUCUAGGUAGAUAAGAGGAAAGUCCAUGCUUGCAUUAUCUGAGAUGAUAAUAGUGUCUGUGUAAGUAUAUAAGAAAUAAAACUUAAAGGCUAAUUAAAUUAGUCUAUGGCAGAAUCAAGCUCUAAAAGGAGGAUUGUACACUCAAUUUUCUUCAUGAGUAAGAUUCUCUAAGGUGCCACAGAGACGAGAUUUAUAGAAAUAUAAAUGAUGAAACGCGGUAAACCCCACAAGCAAGAAACCUAAAUUUUGGUCAGGGAAUUGCAGAUAUAGGAAAAUGAACCUCACCUGCGAAGUUCAAGUCUAUAUCUAUAAAAGUAUAUGGUCUUGAAUUAGAUUAAUUAUCCGUUUAUACAGAACAUGGCUUAUAG
rnacentral:RNase_P_RNA from 2 species